rnacentral:rRNA from 1 species
UGCCUCAGUAACGGCGAGUGAAGCGGCAACAGCUCAAAUUUGAAAUCUGGCUCUUUCAGGGUCCGAGUUGUAAUUUGUAGAAGAUGCUUCGGGUGUGGUUCCGGUCUAAGUUCCUUGGAACAGGACGUCAUAGAGGGUGAGAAUCCCGUAUGUGACCGGCUACCUUCGCUCAUGUGAAGCUCUUUCGACGAGUCGAGUUGUUUGGGAAUGCAGCUCAAAAUGGGUGGUAAAUUUCAUCUAAAGCUAAAUAUUGGCCAGAGACCGAUAGCGCACAAGUAGAGUGAUCGAAAGAUGAAAAGCACUUUGGAAAGAGAGUUAAAUAGUACGUGAAAUUGUUGAAAGGGAAGCGCUUGCAAUCAGACUUGCACGCAGUUGAUCAUCCGGUGUUCUCACCGGUGCACUCUGCUGCGUUCAGGCCAGCAUCGGUUCUGGUGGUUGGAUAAAGGCCUUGGGAAUGUGGCUCCUCUCGGGGAGUGUUAUAGCCCUCGGUGCAAUGCAGCCUACCGGGACCGAGGACCGCGCUUCGGCUAGGAUGCUGGCGUAAUGGUUGUAAGCGACCCGUCUUGAAACACGGACCAAGGAGUCUAACAUCUAUGCGAGUGUUUGGGUGUCAAACCCAUACGCGUAAUGAAAGUGAACGGAGGUGAGAACCCUUAAGGGUGCAUCAUCGACCGAUCCUGAUGUCUUCGGAUGGAUUUGAGUAAGAGCAUAGCUGUUGGGACCCGAAAGAUGGUGAACUAUGCGUGAAUAGGGUGAAGCCAGAGGAAACUCUGGUGGAGGCUCGCAGCGGUUCUGACGUGCAAAUCGAUCGUCAAAUUUGCGCAUAGGGGCGAAAGACUAAU